CCUACGGGUGGCAGCAGUGAGGAAUAUUGGUCAAUGGACGAGAGUCUGAACCAGCCAAGUAGCGUGAAGGAUGACUGCCCUAUGGGUUGUAAACUUCUUUUAUAAAGGAAUAAAACGAGGCACGUGUGCCUUUUUGCUUGUACUUUAUGAAUAAGGAUCGGCUAACUCCGUGCCAGCAGCCGCGGUAAUACGGAGGAUCCGAGCGUUAUCCGGAUUUAUUGGGUUUAAAGGGAACGUAGAUGGGUUGUUAAGUCAGUUGUGAAAGUUUGCGGCUCAACCGUAAAAUUGCAAUUGAUACUGGCAGUCUUGAGUACAGUUGAGGUAGGCAGAAUUCGUGGUGUAGCGGUGAAAUGCUUAGAUAUCACGAAGAACCCCGAUGGCGAAGGCAGCUUACUAAACUGUGACUGACAUUGAUGCGCGAAAGUGUGGGUAGCAAACAGGAUUAGAUACCCUAGUAGUC
rnacentral:rRNA from 1 species